rnacentral:rRNA from 1 species
AACGAACGCUGGCGGCAUGCCUAACACAUGCAAGUCGAACGAGACCUUCGGGUGUGGUGGCGCACGGGUGCGUAACGCGUGGGAACCUGCCCUUAGGUUCGGAAUAACUCCCCGAAAUGGGGGCUAAUACCGGAUAAUGUCUGCUAACCAAAGAUUUAUCGACCUUGGAUGGGCCCGCGUUGGAUUAGCUAGUUGGUAGGGUAAAAGCCUACCAAGGCGACGAUCGAUAGCUGGUCUGAGAGGAUGAUCAGCCACACUGGGACUGAGACACGGCCCAGAAUACUACGGGAGGCAGCAGUGGGGAAUAUUGGACAACGGGCGAAAGCCUGAACCAGCAAUGCCGCGUGAGUGAUGAAGGCCUUAGGGUUGUAAAGCUCUUUUACCCGGGAUGAUAAUGACAGUACCGGGAGAAUAAGCUCCGGCUAACUCCGU